rnacentral:tmRNA from 1 species
CGAGAUUGGAAAGUAAGCUAAACAUGUAGAUACUCUUGUUGGGAUAUUGAAGGACGCGGAUUCGAAUUCCGCCGCCUCCACCA